rnacentral:lncRNA from 1 species
CACCAUGUAAAAUUCAAGUUAAUGAAAAAGAAACAUGACUUUUUGAUGGAAGAAAUUUGGGAAAAAUCUUGAAACCUAACUUUGAAUCUUGAACCUUAGUUUGUAAUUGAUAUGAUCACUUGGAUUAAUUUCCCAUACCCUUGAUGACAAAAUUUAUGGGAAAACAUUGAGAAGAAACUAGGACUUGAAUCCUUGGAAGUAAAACUCUCGGGAGGAAUCAUUAUUUGGUGUUUUUUAGAAUUUGAGAGGAGAUGAAUUGUGUAUUUGGAUUAUG